CCUACGGGACGCAGCAGUGGGGAAUAUUGCACAAUGGGCGCAAGCCUGAUGCAGCCAUGCCGCGUGUAUGAAGAAGGCCUUCGGGUUGUAAAGUACUUUCAGCGGGGAGGAAGGUGUUGUGGUGAAUAACCGCAGCAAUUGACGUUACCCGCAGAAGAAGCUCCGGCUAACUCCGUGCCAGCAGCCGCGGUAAUACGGAGGGUGCAAGCGUUAAUCGGAAUUACUGGGCGUAAAGCGCACGCAGGCGGUCUGUCAAGUCGGAUGUGAAAUCCCCGGGCUCAACCUGGGAACUGCAUUCGAAACUGGCAGGCUAGAGUCUUGUAGAGGGGGGUAGAAUUCCAGGUGUAGCGGUGAAAUGCGUAGAGAUCUGGAGGAAUACCGGUGGCGAAGGCGGCCCCUGGACAAAGACUGACGCUCAGGUGCGAAAGCGUGGGGAGCAAACAGGAUUAGAUACCCGCGUAGUC
rnacentral:rRNA from 1 species